rnacentral:rRNA from 1 species
UACGUAGGGUGUGAGCGUUAAUCGGAAUUACUGGGCGUAAAGCGUGCGUAGGCGGUUCGUUAAGUGCGUCGUGAAAGCCCCGGGCUCAACCUGGGAAUGGCGAUGGAAACUGGCGGGCUGGAGUAUGGCAGAGGGGGGUGGAAUUCCGCGUGUAGCAGUGAAAUGCGUAGAGAUGCGGAGGAACACCGAUGGCGAAGGCAGCCCCCUGGGCCAAUACUGACGCUCAGGCACGAAAGCGUGGGGAGCAAACAGG